rnacentral:tRNA from 1 species
GAUCGCGUGGCCUAAUGGAUAAGGUGUCUGACUUCGGAUCAGAAGAGGGUUCGAGUUCCUUCGUGGUCG